rnacentral:sRNA from 3 species
AUGUAGCACGCGUCCACCGCGGUUCCGGGCGCGCGGUCCGCGCCCACCUGACAGCUGCUCGCUCCGUGUUGUUAGCC